rnacentral:rRNA from 1 species
CCUACGGGUGGCAGCAGUGAGGAAUAUUGGUCAAUGGGCGCGAGCCUGAACCAGCCAAGUCGCGUGAGGGAAGACGGCCCUACGGGUUGUAAACCUCUUUUGCCGGGGAGUAACUGGCGCCACGUGUGGCGCCACCGAGAGUACCCGGAGAAAAAGCAUCGGCUAACUCCGUGCCAGCAGCCGCGGUAAUACGGAGGAUGCGAGCGUUAUCCGGAUUUAUUGGGUUUAAAGGUUGCGUAGGCGGAAGGUAAAGUCAGUGGUAAAAUUGAGGGGCUCAACCCCUUCCCGCCGUUGAAACUGGCGCUCUUGAGUGGACGAGAAGUAUGCGGAAUGCGUGGUGUAGCGGUGAAAUGCAUAGAUAUCACGCAGAACUCCGAUUGCGAAGGCAGCAUGCCGGCUUCCGACUGACGCUGAAGCACGAAAGCGUGGGGAUCGAACAGGAUUAGAUACCCCAGUAGUC